CCUACGGGAGGCAGCAGUGGGGAAUUUUGGACAAUGGGCGCAAGCCUGAUCCAGCAAUGCCGCGUGCAGGAUGAAGGCCUUCGGGUUGUAAACUGCUUUUGUACGGAGCGAAACGGUCUACUCUAAUACAGUGGGCUAAUGACGGUACCGUAAGAAUAAGCACCGGCUAACUACGUGCCAGCAGCCGCGGUAAUACGUAGGGUACGAGCGUUAAUCGGAAUUACUGGGCGUAAAGCGUGCGCAGGCGGUUAUAUAAGACAGAUGUGAAAUCCCCGGGCUCAACCUGGGACCUGCAUUUGUGACUGUAUAGCUAGAGUGCGGCAGAGGGGGAUGGAAUUCCGCGUGUAGCAGUGAAAUGCGUAGAUAUGCGGAGGAACACCGAUGGCGAAGGCAAUCCCCUGGGCCUGCACUGACGCUCAUGCACGAAAGCGUGGGGAGCAAACAGGAUUAGAUACCCUGGUAGUCCACGCCCUAAACGAUGUCAACUGGUUGUUGGGUCUUCACUGACUCAGUAACAAAGCUAACGCGUGAAGUUGACCGCCUGGGGAGUACGGCCGCAAGGUUGAAACUUAAAGGAAUUGACGG
rnacentral:rRNA from 1 species